AUUGACCUCGGAUCAGGUAGGGAUACCCGCCGAACUUAAGCAUAUCAAUAAGCGGAGGAAAAGAAACCAACAGGGAUUGCCUCAGUACCGGCGAGUGAAGCGGCAACAGCUCAAAU
rnacentral:rRNA from 1 species